rnacentral:rRNA from 1 species
CUUUGGGAUAACCCUCGGGAACGGGGGCUAAUACCGGAUACGACUCUUGCCUGCAUGGGUGGGGGUGGAAAGUUUUUUCGGCUAGGGGUGGGCUCGCGGCCUAUCAGCUUGUUGGUGGGGUGAUGGCCUACCAAGGCGACGACGGGUAGCCGGCCUGAGAGGGCGACCGGCCACACUGGGACUGAGACACGGCCCAGACUCCUACGGGAGGCAGCAGUGGGGAAUAUUGCACAAUGGGCGGAAGCCUGAUGCAGCGACGCCGCGUGAGGGAUGACGGCCUUCGGGUUGUAAACCUCUUUCAGCAGGGACGAAGCGUGAGUGACGGUACCUGCAGAAGAAGCGCCGGCCAACUACGUGCCAGCAGCCGCGGUAAGACGUAGGGCGCGAGCGUUGUCCGGAUUUAUUGGGCGUAAAGAGCUCGUAGGCGGCUUGUUGCGUCGACCGUGAAAACCCGGGGCUCAACUUCGGGCUUGCGGUCGAUACGGGCGGGCUAGAGUUCGGUAGGGGAGACUGGAAUUCCUGGUGUAGCGGUGAGAUGCGCAGAUAUCAGGAGGAACACCGGUGGCGAAGGCGGGUCUCUGGGCCGAUACUGACGCUGAGGAGCGAAAGCGUGGGGAGCGAACAGGAUUAGAUACCCUGGUAGUCCACGCUGUAAACGUUGGGCGC